UUUUUGCCUUAUUUUCAAAACCUAGAGACUUCUUUUUACUCUCUCCUCUCUCUCACCCUCUCUCAAGCCGCCGCCGCCCCACCGCUGCUUCCACGACAGCGCCGCCGUCCUCUGGUGGCUAAACGGCCUCCAUCUAACAUCAUCCCCUUCCUUUCACUCCUCUCAUUCCAAAUCCAUAGCCCAAAAAUUCCAAAUCUCCACCAAUAAUCAACAAAAGAAACCCUAAUCACGCCGUCACCAAUGCACCACCCCUUCCGCCGUCGUCCAAAGACCUCAAAAUUCUCACCAUCUCUUCCUCUCACUCCCCUCAUUCUAAAUCCACAACCCAAAUUCCCCAAAUCUCCACAAAAAAUUGACAAAUCCAAACCCUAGUGUCGUCGCCUAUGCCCCGCCACACGCCACCGCCCAAAACCCCUCAAAAUUUCACUAGGUCCUCCUCUCCUCAUACUCUUUCCCAUUCCAUACCCCAAAAUCCUUAAAACCCUCUACCCCACCUUAUGCUACUACUACUGCCGCCACCACCAUGCCUGCCGCUGCCCUUGAAACACCAGACCAACCUCUUGUAACUGAUUUCUAGCAUAAACACGACCCCACAACACCCUUUUCUCUUUGGCAUGAUUUGGAAUCUACUACUAUGCCGAAGCUCAUUUUUUCCAGCACAUGCCAUCGAGGAAACAGUGCUUGGGGGUCGACUUGCUGCGUUUUGCAUCGUAUUUGAGAGAUGAGGGCAAUCUAAUUAGUUGUUACGGUAAAAUCCUAGUUCCCUUUUUAUUUUUCUGAUUUUUGCUUCUCUAAUUGGGUUUAGGUUUAGUUUAAAUCGUAUAUUUCUUGUCGAUAGUUAAUUGCUCGUUUUGAUCCUUGGCGAUUCGAUUAGAUCAAGUUCAUUUUUUGCGUAGUUGCUAAAUUUUCUUUUUGAUUCAGCCAUGAAUCGUUUCUGUGAUCGCAAGAUGAAUCAAUUGUUUCCAUACAAUUAGGCUCUGAUUUGCGGUUAUUAAUAGUCGUUUAUUUAGUUGUUGUUAGUUGUUGUCGGAUAGUUAACAAUGCUCGUUUAAUUUCUGUUACGCGCUUUAGCUGGUGAAUUCAGUUAUUUUCUAUGUUAGUGUGUACAAAUCGAAUUAAUUGCAAUCUAGUUUGUUUGAAUACUUGGUUCGGUUACCUUUUAAGUCUUGUUUCUGUUGUAUUAAUCUAUAAUUGGUUAGUUUGAAUGUGGAGUAUGUUAGCUUAAAUUUCAGUCAUGAUAAAAGCUGAAUAUAUGAGUGUAGAGUACGUGUUUGGUUUCUUUUACUGUUUUUGGAGUUGUUAGGAGUACAUCUACUCCUUGCCUGUGUCUUCAUAAUUUGAUUAGUUUGAAUGUAUGAGUGUGUUAGCUUAAAUUUCAGUCAUGAUAAAAGCUGAAUAUUUGAGUGUAGGAUACUCGUUUGGUUGCUUUUUACUAUUUAAAGGGCUGUUCGGAGUACACUGCUCCAAACACUAUUCAUAGUUGGUGAAAAAUUAUCUUUUAGACAGAUUUUUAACCAAAAAAUCUAUCCUUUGAAUAGUUGGGAUAGAUUUUAGGUUGAAAAUCCGUCCUUUGGACAGAUUCAAUGAAAUAAUUCAAUCAUUAUCCUUUCCUAUAAAAGAAGAGGUCUUUCCUCACUUGGGGGGGNNNNNNNNNNNNNNNNNNNNNNNNNNNNNNNNNNNNNNNNNNNNNNNNNNNNNNNNNNNNNNNNNNNNNNNNNNNNNNNNNNNNNNNNNNNNNNUCUAAGGUAACUGGAAUUGUUAUUUGUGUAAGCUAAAAUUGUGAGUUUGAAAAAGUUUUCUUAUUAAAAAUACUUUCAAAAGAUAAAAUCUUUUAGAACUUGUUCUGGGCUUCUACUCUAUGAUUUUUGGCUACUCAAACAUUCAUCCCACUGCUGAUUUGCUGCUGUUUUCUGUCUUUACUGCUAUUUCUGUUGCUAUUUUUGUUUAUUCUAGUGCUGUAUUUAUUUUACGUGACCCAGGUAAAUCUUAAAUUCUGUAUUGCAGAUUUUUAUAUCAAACGGUUGAAGAUAUAGACUUGUCUUGGCUCACUGAAUUUGUUUGAUAUACCUUAUUGAACGAAAACAUUAUAUUGAAGCAUUGUUCAAUUGUGUGUAGAAUAACCAAAGUAAAUUUUACUAUAAAGUAAAGAUGCGAUGGGCAUCUAUAAUUAGACGCGGGAUUGGAGGGAGAGAAUAUUUUCUAUUUACACAAUUUAUACUCCACAAUCUACACCAAAAUAAUACGCAAUUCAUACCCAAAUUUCUGCAAAAUCAUUGUCUAAUGAUGAUUUUUUCAGUUUUUCCAUAAAAACACAAC
rnacentral:lncRNA from 1 species